GGGACUCAGCUGGCACCCAGCCUGCUUCACUGGCCCCUGCCCUGCUCCACUCCGUGCCACAGAGUUGCAACCAAAUGGCUUGAGCUAUGUCUGUAUGGCCUGGAGGAGCUGGAGCUCAGAUGGCAUAUUAGAGAGUGACUUAGAAUCUGUAAGGAAAGGGAUGAAAAUUGAUGCUAACACCAGGGAAAGGCAGGUUGACAUGAGCGAAGCUUCCUUUUUAACACACAAGAGUCACACAACCAGGCCUGGGGAAAAACAGCCAUUCCGCAAGAGGAAGGAGGCAAGACACUCUGAGGGAAGAAUCUCUCCAUCCUCUUUUAGAACAAAUAACACUGGGAUUCACUUUCAUACAUUUCCAAAGGGUU